AUUGAACGCUGGCGGCAUGCCUUACACAUGCAAGUCGAACGGUAACAGGGAGCUUGCUCCGCUGACGAGUGGCGAACGGGUGAGUAAUGUAUCGGAACGUACCUUUUAGUGGGGGAUAACGUAGCGAAAGUUACGCUAAUACCGCAUAUUCUCUGAGGAGGAAAGCAGGGGACCUUCGGGCCUUGCGCUAAUAGAGCGGCUGAUAUCAGAUUAGCUAGUUGGUGAGGUAAAGGCUCACCAAGGCGACGAUCUGUAGCGGGUCUGAGCGGAUGAUCCGCCACACUGGAACUGAGACACGGUCCAGACUCCUACGGGAGGCAGCAGUGGGGAAUUUUGGACAAUGGGGGCAACCCUGAUCCAGCCAUGCCGCGUGAGUGAAGAAGGCCUUCGGGUUGUAAAGCUCUUUCGGCCGGGAUAAAAUCGCAUGGGCUAAUACCCUGUGUGGAUGAUGGUACCGGAAUAAGAAGCACCGGCUAACUACGUGCCAGCCGCCGCCGUAACAC
rnacentral:rRNA from 1 species